UACAUUUUUUUUCUUUGCUUUGAAUAAGUUCACAGGGGAUAUUAAGUCAUUUACUGAAUAUUCCACAAAUGGAAAGGUGUUAGUUUUAUUCAAACGUUGCUUUUAUAUUUCGACACACUGCUCAGAUCCAUGUUACGGGAAAUUAAAAUGAUCCAUUCCACCAGCUGCCACAAUGGAUAGUGCAUAUCUUGGAGAUAUGCGUGUAACAUGUUUACUCGCAUCAUAGUUUCUGUCAUCAUAUUGCAUACCUCUUCAUAUAAAUUUUACAAUGACACAAUGAUGAAGACAACAACCAUGAAGUACAUGAAUACCAGCAAGGAAAGUAUUACUUUAUAGUGGACAAUCUGUAUGCCGAAAUUUGUAGUAGAAAUUCUUAUAUCUAUCGUUAGCAGACUCCAUAUUCGAGGUUGUUAGCUUGUGAACGAAAUGUAAAGUAGAGGCCUUUGUGGUGAAUCUGGAGAAGAGGUUUACCACAUUCUAAAAGUCUUUAGAUGAGAGAAGGGAGAAAGUAAAGGACAUCAAUGCUGGAGGAAAUAAAGAGGACAAUCCGUAAGCUGAAAAAAUGGAAAUCCCCUGGCCCUGACACACGGUCUAACGGAUUGGGACACUUUCCCUGGCUAUGGAAAACCGCCAACAUCGUCGAGCUACACAAGCAAGGCAAGCCAACGCAUGACGUGGAUAGCUAAAGACCGAUCAGUCUCCUCUCCCACCUUCGGAAAAAUACUGGAGCGUUGCUAUGGUAUGCUAUCCGGAUCCUGUCCUGUGUUGAGGUCCAGAACGCGAUCCCGCUUCACCAAUUUGGGUUCCGAGCUGGUCACGAUAUGCUCGAGCAACUACGCUGGAUGGCUUCCAACGUAAAAAAUACACGGUGGCGGUUUUCCUAGACGUCCAACAGGCCUUCGACAAGGUGUGGAACCCAGGGUUGCUGUCCAAACUAUUUAUAUUUUUUAAA